GUGUCAUGCAAGAAGGAGGCGGCGGCGGCGGCGGCGGCGGCCGGAGCUGGAGGGGGAGGAGGGGAGGAACCUGAUCCUCGGUAGCGAAGGGCUGGAGGCAAACACCGAGCUCCCCCUGAGCCGCCUGGGAGCAGGGAGGGUUCUGCUACCCUGAGGUGCCCUCCCCGCGGGGCAGAGGGGUUUCCUCAGCAGUGCCCCAGAGCAGGGACUGCGCCAGCCGGCAGAAACAGCUAGUUCUUGUCUGCAGUGAAGAAUAAUUGGAAGCAUGGUGCCUGUUUCUUUUCCUAGGAGCCAAGAAUAGGACAGCUUGGGAAGCUCAUCCUCGUCUACGGCCAAACGUUGGUUUCUCAUUUCUAGAAUGAAAGAUGUGAUGACUUAGGGAAAACUGGGAUCUUAGUAACUGUGGUGGGCACUGAGCCUUGCCGUCCACAAGAGAAAGCUUGCUGCUCGAGAUGUG
rnacentral:lncRNA from 1 species